rnacentral:lncRNA from 1 species
CACAUAAUGACUUUCUUUCACUCUGAGCGUUUGUACAUUUAGUCGAUAUUAUAUAACACGCCCGUGGAUAUAUUUCAUCGGUGUGUGCGGCCGAGGCUGCGAUGUGGAUCUUGGCAAUUCUGAUGCUCAUAUAAUCUCUAUGAUGGUCUGUACAGCCUGAAUGUUACUAAAAAAGUGUGACGACUGCAGUCUUUUAGGUAACUGCCGCUGAAGUGGUUUUCCCAACAAAGAGCUUUAGAUACAAACGCGCAAUCAGUGACGCGGUGGGUCUCGCACCACUCUCCCCUGCUCGUGUCAGGCUGGCGCUCGAACCGCACGUAGAAUUUGCUUUAUAGCUCGAUUAUGAAAGCAAAUGAUCUAACGAGAGCAAAUUUUAAAUUUAUAUUUUUCUGAGUUAUUUUUAUAGGUUUUCCCAUUAAAACGGUGCCAGCGUCCGGAGGUGCGGAUUAUCGCCUACGGAGGGCUUUCGUUCCUCCAGCGGGCCAGCGGUGCUGGAAAUGAGCCUUGAAAGUAUAAUUAAUUACUCUAAUGGAGAGGUAAUUAUUGCGAAGGCAAAUAUUGAUCGAUGCCACGAGCUUUGGUGCCGAAAACGUUCGCAGUCAGCAGCCACGUGAGACGCUUCUCGGAGCCAAACUCUCCAGGCGGGGGCCACCGAGACGCAAUCUGUGCCAAACACGCAGCUCCUUCGAAACGGGCUCGAGACAAACGCUCUGGAAAUUCGGGUGCUUUUCCGAUGACGGACGGCCGGAACUUAAUGGGACGCUUUUUGAAAGCUAGACCUCAUCACAGAAUCACGACUGUAACAGAAGCACAUCUUCCAGCGACUGCCUUUCCCACACCUCCGUGAUGUGGGUGCGGAUACGCGGAUACGGAGCAGGGACGCUGACUGCGGCGACAGGAACGGGGCUCGUUGGGCCCAUAGGGGUGACCUUCAUUGCUGGGACGGGCGCAAGGAGCAGGCGAGUCGUCAUUUCAACAGGUCGUUCCAGGACGAAGGACUGGACAUUGCGAGUGUGCGGUUUUAACAAGGCGAUUCCUAAACUG